CCCAUCUUGGGUGGGCUUCAGCUUUCACAACACCUAAAUACACCUGGGGAAAUGGCAGGUACUAGUUAUAUAUUUAUCCUUUCUCAAAGCUUUGUGCCUGUUUCAAUGAAACUGUUCCCACCAGAUUCUUCAGUUCAAAUAGGUUGUUGGUAGUUCACAUGCUCCUGUUACAAUGCUGCAUUUCCUGGCAUGAUUGUCAUUGUCUCUCCUAUUGCUCCCACAGUGACCUGGGCAUUUUUACAAAAGUGAUAUGGCUCCAUGGAUUGUUUCCAAAGAUUCCAGUCAUCAAGGAAUCGUGUGAAAGAAGCCUUUCUAGAUCCAUAGGACACCCUCAUGAAGAAGAAAGGCUAUCAAUGACUACUAGCCAUGAUGGCUACAUUAAACCUCAAGGAUCAGAGGCAAUCUCUCUCUGGAUAGCAGUGUGUACUCAAAUGAGAGAGGCUUACUGCCCUCAUGUUCUGCUUAUGGGCUUCACAUAAAGAUCUAGGAGGCUGUGAUAGAGGCACCCCAUGCCACUCACUAGAACUGCAACCGACACAAGAUAAUACCAUCAAGGCAACUAUCUGUAAACAAUAAAUGUCCAUAAAAAUGGCAAAAGUAGUUUUCCCCCAAGUAGGUUUUAUCUUAAACAAUUGCAAACACAGUAAUAAAGAGUCCACUUGUGAUAUACCAGUGGUUCAGUGUUUGGACGUUGUUCCAGUAAUCAGAUGUUUCGUCGCUAAAGAGUUUCACGACUUAAAGCAGGCGUAUAUCUGUCCCCACCUGCAUGUUUCCAUCGGGAGGAGUAAAGAAAGAGGAUGAUGUCCUUCAAUUUGUCUUUCAUUUCAGACAAUGUCCUUCAGGAGGUAUCACCACCCUGUUCACUGUUUUGUUAUACUCUCUAGAACUGGCCUUGAAGGAAUGGAAGCACUGUGAAAUAGUGCCUGCCAUUCCCAACUCAUAUAGGCUGUCCAGCAAGAUGUCAUCAUUAAAUGUAUCAAAAGCUGCUGAGAGACUGAGCAAGAGCAACAGGGUCACAAGCGCCCCUCGCCCACAGCAGCGAAAUCAAAGCCAAUUCAUUUCUGAUAUUGGCCUGAACCUGGACCAGAAUGUAUCUAGCUAAUCGGCUUCCUCCAAGAGUGCCUGUGCUGGCACUAUUAUCUUGAAAACCUUCUACCCAAAGGAGAAUUAAAUAUUAAAUGUCCCCUUAAAUAUUAGACAGACACUGUCUCUGUUGUCAUUUUGUCACCUCCUGAAGUCCUUCCAACAUGCCUUUUAAGUUGAGAUCGCUUCCAGUCUACGUCUGUAUUGGAAUUGUGUUUAGAUGUUUUAAAUGUCCUGUCAUUUGUGUGUUUGUCACCCUAGGCUCCUUUCAGGGGAAGUGUGGGAUACAUCACCACCUUCACCAUCACAGCAACUGUGCAGAAGCUGUGAUAUACCUCUGGGUCCAGGGUAAGAUGAUGAUUAUGAUGAUGAUUUUAGGUACACCCUACCUUUUUCCCCUGACAGAGGGUAUAGGAAGUCCACAGGGAGGACAGGCAGGCACCAUCCCUCUCCAGCUGCUCUUCUCAAUUCCAAAUGUAGUGCAGAGCCAUCAAAUUGCUCUUUGCCCGUUCCAGAGGAAGAGUGGGACAAAAUAAGAGUACUGGGAAUGUGCUAACAUCCCCCUGAUCAAAGGGCUCAGGGAAACCUUGAGAUGAUGAAGAAAAUCAAAGAAGUACUCAAAAAGAUGAAUGCUAUAGUAAUGGGUGACUUCAAACUUUCCCAGGAGCAUCUUAGCCAACUUUAAACCUUCAGUUAUUUCUAAUCAAUUUCAUUCCUCCCACCCCCAAAUAUUCUACUGUCUCCAGGAACAUCUUCUCGUUCUUUUGCUGUAAAUGCUUACAAUAAUGAUUCCCUGAACAAGAUGUCUGACAAGCAUGCCCUUUCAACACAUCCAAGAAAUCUAGCAUCUAAACAUCCAGUCAAGCUGUUUCUGCCUACUUUUGGAGCUCUUCCAGCAAGUUAAAAAUUUCCCAAGAUACUUCAGAAAUGGAGUUUAUCAAUCCCAAGAGGAAUUCUGGCAAUCCUUGCUCAGAAGUGCACAUCUGCUUAUUGGUGUGGAAACUUGAUUUUGUCUAGUAUGAGAUUAGGACAGUGCAACUAGACUAUGGCUAUUUACCUUUUAAUGAGUGCCCUAAAAACACAGCAAUAAAUCCUCACAUGUAGAACAAUCAGGUACAACUCUAAAUAUUUAGUGAGAAUUACCAGAGAGUCACCAAAGGAUGAAAUCUGGGCUGGAAAAUACCGACAAAAGAACUGAAUGAGAGACGUUACAUACCAUGAGGACACGCUCCAAAGAGCUUGAGGAAGACACAAGAAGAGAGAAGGAAGAGGAGGAGGAUGCCUAUCUUAACAUUUUACCAUCAUUCAGUAAAAAGAGAUGAAAGGAACAGUCGAAAGUGGUGAGCCAGAAUUAAUAAAGGCAAGAAAAUAAGGCAUGAAUUUGGAAGAAGCAGGGAAGAAAGUACUCUUAGAAUAGCGCUUUCUUUCAAAAGGAAUCAUCCUAUCUAGCAUAACAGUCACAUUAGCAGUUGCAACAAAAACAACAGCUACAGGAAUCUUCUGUUUGUGCGGUGUACCAUAUUGAAGGAUUGAGCCAUAAAUGAUCUUAAAACUAAGGAACCCAACUUGUAGGUGUACUAAUGCAGAUGUAAGUUCUGUUGUGCAGGACUGAAGCCUUAGCUGGUUUGUACCCUAGGCUGCUAAAGUAGAAGCUGUUUUUAGAGGAUUUUUUUUCAUCUAAUGUGGGCAAAGUCUAGGAUAAGCAUAAGAUAUGCCUGUGUCUACAAUGCGACAAUCUCUUCUGACAAACACAAGACAGAAGCAUCAGGGAUUUUCUAUUGAGCAAAUGGAAACAUUAUUUCUAGAGUAAGUAGAAUAAUUUUGUUUGUGAAGAGUAUUUGUUUUCAUGCCUAACAAAGGGAUUUAACUCCUGCUUUAUGUGAGAGACAGAACAAAGCCUUACCUAAGCAGUCAGUACCAAUUUCGACAGCAUUUGUAUCAAUAUGUACAAUAGACAUGAAGUACAACUGGGACUUUUCCCAUUAAUUCUUCUGUGGUGGUAUAUGCAGGAUACACAGCCAUUCACCCACAGAACAUCUACUCCUGUUAGAUAUGCUGCCUUCAUUCAAGGAUUUGAAUAGUGCAGCCUGCAGUAAUUGGGAUUUCCUUAAAAAUAUUGAACUGUUUUCACUAUUAACUACUAUCUUGAAAAUCCUGAGGGCAGCGUUCCAAGAGCUUUGAUUUGCCCCCAAAAUGAUUUGGUUCCCAGAAUGUUUCAAUUUCUGGAUUUAGCAACUCUGAGCUGUGGUGCAGAAAAAUAUAUUUUUUAAAAUCUUUGAAGCUAGGCACAGAGAACAGCGAAGUAGCUGGCUAGAAAUUGCAGUGUGCUUUAUUUUAUUUUUUUCUUCUUCCCCAGCCUCCGGAUUGCAGCCCAGCAGGCAUACAAACAUCGAGUGGGUGCCAGAAAAACACAACCAACACACUAGAUAUCGG
rnacentral:lncRNA from 1 species